CGGCGGACGGGUGAGUAACGCGUGGGUAACCGUGCCUCAUACAGGGGGAUAACAGUUGGAAACGGCUGCUAAUACCGCAUAAGCGCACAGUACCGCAUGGUACCGUGUGAAAAACUCCGGUGGUAUGAGAUGGACCCGUGUCUGAUUAGCUAGUCGGUGGGGUAACGGCCUACCAAGGCGACGAUCAGUAGCCGACCUGAGAGGGUGACCGGCCACAUUGGGACUGAGACACGGCCCAA
rnacentral:rRNA from 1 species